CGGCGCCGGGUCCUCUCCGAAAACAUAUCGAAGGAAGUGCAAAUGAGAUCUUGAGCACAGGUGAAAUACUAUUACGAAAGAAGGAAUCCAGUCAUAUUUUAAUCAACCUACGUGGCCCCCAAUAGGUGGUUUUAUUGCUGGAGUUAUAACUACAGUGGUGGUCAUGCGGCGACUGUCAUGAAGGAGUGAGGGAAGGCUUUGCAGACUUCAAUCACUUUGUAGUCCGUGAACCAGAAACUUGGCAUUUCCCAAUCACCUUUUUAGGAUUGGUAUUUCUUGCAGCUGGCCUUGUUUGUUUGAAACUGCAGCA